GACGAACGCUGGCGGCGUGCUUAACACAUGCAAGUCGAACGGAAAGGCCUGCUUUCCCUUGUGGAUUGCGGGUACUCGAGUGGCGAACGGGUGAGUAACACGUGAGUGAUCUGCCCCCAACUUGGGUAUAAGCCUGGGAAACUGGGGCUAAUUCCCGAUAGGACUGCAGGGUGGUGCCUGUGGUGGAAAACGAUUUUCUAGUGGGUGGGGAUGAGCUCGCGGCCUAUCAGCUUGUUGGUGGGGUAAUGGCCUACCAAGGCGGCGACGGGUAGCCGGCCUGAGAGGGUGGACGGCCACAUUGGGACUGAGAUACGGCCCAGACUCCUACGGGAGGCAGCAGGGGGGAAUAUGGCACAAUGGGCGGAAGCCUGAUGCAGCGACGCCGCGUGGGGGAUGACGGCCUUCGGGUUGUAAACUCCUUUCGACCGCGAGGAAGCCACCUGGUUGGAAGGGUGGUGACGGUAGUGGUAGAAGAAGCACCGGCUAACUACGUG
rnacentral:rRNA from 1 species